AGCGAACGCUGGCGGCAGGCUUAACACAUGCAAGUCGAGCGGGCACUUCGGUGUCAGCGGCAGACGGGUGAGUAACACGUGGGAACGUACCCUUUGGUUCGGAAUAACGCUGGGAAACUAGCGCUAAUACCGGAUACGCCCUUUUGGGGAGAGGCUUGCUGCCGAAGGAUCGGCCCGCGUCUGAUUAGCUAGUUGGUGGGGUAAUGGCCUACCAAGGCGACGAUCAGUAGCUGGUCUGAGAGGAUGAUCAGCCACACUGGGACUGAGACACGGCCCAGACUCCUACGGGAGGCAGCAGUGGGGAAUAUUGGACAAUGGGCGCAAGCCUGAUCCAGCCAUGCCGCGUGAGUGAUGAAGGCCUUAGGGUUGUAAAGCUCUUUUGUCCGGGACGAUAAUGACGGUACCGGAAGAAUAAGCCCCGGCUAACUUCGUG
rnacentral:rRNA from 1 species